rnacentral:rRNA from 1 species
AACGAACGCUGGCGGCAUGCCUAACACAUGCAAGUCGAACGAGACCUUCGGGUCUAGUGGCGCACGGGUGCGUAACGCGUGGGAACCUGCCUUUAGGUUCGGAAUAACUCAGAGAAAUUUGAGCUAAUACCGGAUAAUGUCUUCGGACCAAAGAUUUAUCGCCUUUAGAUGGGCCCGCGUUGGAUUAGCUAGUUGGUGGGGUAAAGGCCUACCAAGGCGACGAUCCAUAGCUGGUCUGAGAGGAUGAUCAGCCACACUGGGACUGAGACACGGCCCAGACUCCUACGGGAGGCAGCAGUGGGGAAUAUUGGACAAUGGGGCGAAAGCCUGAUCCAGCAAUGCCGCGUGAGUGAUGAAGGCCUUAGGGUGUAAGCUCUUUUACCCGAGAUGAUAAUAGACAGUAUCGGGAGAAUAAGCUCCGGCUAACUACCGUGCCAGCAGCCGCGGUAAU